CAUAGAUGAGCUCAACCAUCUUCCAUCUUCUAGGGGAAACAUGCACUUCCUUGUAACUGGCUAGGCUUGAGAAGACACACAAAGAACUUUAGGAUUUCAUUUUUCCUAAUGUAGGCUGUCUAUCAGAGAAAUGGGAACUUAUUUUUCCGGACAACUAUCCAAAAAGCAACAGCAAUGGAGCAGAAAGAACUUGAUUCAGCCAAGGCAACACUGAA